rnacentral:piRNA from 1 species
UUCCAAACUGCUAUCCUACACAGUGAAGC